rnacentral:rRNA from 1 species
UACAGAGGGGGCAAGCGUUAUUCGGAAUUAUUGGGCGUAAAGGGCGCGUAGGCGGCUUUGCAAGUGACGGGUGAAAGCCCUCGGCUUAACCGAGGAACUGCCUGUGAGACUGUAAGGCUUGAGACCGGGAGAGGUGAGUGGAAUUCCCAGUGUAGCGGUGAAAUGCGUAGAUAUUGGGAGGAACACCAGUGGCGAAGGCGGCUCACUGGACCGGAACUGACGCUGAGGCGCGAAAGCGUGGGGAGCAAACAGG